UACGGAGGGUGCGAGCGUUGUCCGGAAUCAUUGGGCGUAAAGGGCGCGUAGGUGGCUUCUCAAGCGUGCGGUGAAAGCCUGGGGCUCAACCCCGGGUCGGCCGUGCGAACUGGGGGGCUGGAGCACUGUAGAGGCAGGCGGAAUUCCGGGUGUAGCGGUGGAAUGCGUAGAGAUCCGGAAGAACGACCGGUGGCGAAGGCGGCCUGCUGGGCAGUUGCUGACACUGAGGCGCGACAGCGUGGGGAGCAAACAGG
rnacentral:rRNA from 1 species